AUGUCAUUUUAGAAUACUUUUCCGAAAUAAUCCCCACACUUUUCCAGUCUACAAUACAGGCUUUAUUUCUGCCAUUCCUGGGCCAAAGAAAUGGAUAACUCUUGGUUUCUGACUUUUAUUGUGGGCUGUAUUGUGGGUUAUUUGAUAGGCAAGAACCAUUAAUAGAGGCUUAUAUUUCCCAAAGCCUUAACAAGUUUCACAUCAACUGAAUUCGUCUGGCAAAAAUGGAUGUGGAUUGGGUGAUCACAUUUUUAGUUGGCUGUUUGGUAGGAUACAUGGUGGCCAGGAAUACCUAGAUUAUUCCUGUCUGCUCAAGUCUUGACUAGAAUCCGAAAUUCUCCUCACUUUUGGGAUCAAGAACGCAAACCUCUUUCGAAUAGCCCGCAUCCAAAUCAAAGAAGCAAAAUGACUCACGUUAUUUCCUUUGCCUUGGGCGUGAUUAUUGGAAUGAUGAGCUGCCGGAAGUGCUAGAUCCCUCAUCUAUUGAACUGAAAGUUAUCUAAAACCUGUUAAAAUACAAGCAAUAAAAAAUAUUAAAUUAUGAAAAGUAA